UACAGAGGGUGCGAGCGUUGUCCGGAAUCACUGGGCGUAAAGGGCGCGUAGGCGGUCUGCUAAGCGUGUGGUGAAAGCUCGGGGCUCAACCCCGCGUCGGCCAUGCGAACUGGUGGACUGGAGCUUGUCAGAGGCAGGCGGAAUUCCGGGUGUAGCGGUGGAAUGCGUAGAGAUCCGGAAGAACACCGGUGGCGAAGGCGGCCUGCUGGGACAAUGCUGACGCUGAGGCGCGACAGCGUGGGGAGCAAACAGG
rnacentral:rRNA from 1 species